rnacentral:lncRNA from 10 species
UAGAUCCAAGAGAGAGACUACCCAAGUGUCCACACAGGCCAGCUUGAAAGGAGAAUGGGGCAGAUCUCCAAACAUGACCUGUCUUUAAUGUGAUAGCCCGGAACAGUGCAUCUGAGAGCAAGCCGCUGUCUUUAUGCUCCUUUCCAAUGGUGCUGCAUCCUGGUCUAGUGAAAUUCUUCUCAGUGAAGAAUUUAAUGGGGAAGACUCCCAAGGACUAGGAGAAAAAUAUGAAUGUCUUAAAUGGCUGACUAUUUCAGAUAUCUCUCUCUGAUGGAUGAAGAAACUAAGACCACAGAAGUUCAUGGGCUGCACAAUUUAGCCUUGGAAAUAGAGGAUGACAAGAAUACUGAUGCUUCAUAAUUGAAGGCCUGGUUGGAGUAUGCGGCCAGCCUUAUCCAGGUUACCCCACCUGAACAUCCUCCUGGGAGGAAGCAGGGCAUGAAUCCGAAGGAAUUAGUGAAGUCCUUCCAUAGCCAUCCUUGAUGGUGGAGCGGGGGUGUGUCUCAGCAAAAAGCCACAGACUUAUAACUCAUGUAAGCUGUUUCUCAAAUAUCUGCCCAGUGGUGCUGGUGAGAGCCCGAUGAAAAUGCACAAAGAGUGACACAACCUGGCCACCACUAAGAAGUAAAGAGCUCAGUGAUUUCUCAUCUAUUCUUUCACAGCUACACACCAAUGAAAACAAACACCCGAAACCGUCUUCUGUGGCAUUUGUCAGUUGAAAAAGAACACCUUAGACUUAACUUUUAAAAUGUCUGUAAUAAAAAUAUAAUUCCAUUUUCUUUUCUCGUUUGGUUCUGUUAUGCUCAGUGUUACUUGUGACAGAUAAAACAUUAUUUACAAC